rnacentral:rRNA from 1 species
UACGAAGGGGGCUAGCGUUGCUCGGAAUUACUGGGCGUAAAGCGCACGUAGGCGGAUUGUUAAGUCGGGGGUGAAAUCCCGGAGCUCAACUCCGGAACUGCCUUCGAUACUGACGAUCUUGAGUCCGGGAGAGGUGAGUGGAACUGCGAGUGUAGAGGUGAAAUUCGUAGAUAUUCGCAAGAACACCAGUGGCGAAGGCGGCUCACUGGCCCGGUACUGAUGCUGAGGUGCGAAAGCGUGGGGAGCAAACAGG